AAAUAGAGAUUAUUGUGGAUACUUUAUUAUAUAUUAUAUCCAUCAUUAUAUGCAGGAUGCUCCUACAACUAUCUCUCCAAACAAGAUUUAUUCUUUUGUAUAUUCUAAUCCUCUAACUUCUUUACCAAUUUUUAUAUGCAUUCCUAACUUAUUUACUUAUUGAUUUUUAUUUUUUUAGCUUAAUGAUCACUGGUUUAUAAUGGCGG
rnacentral:lncRNA from 1 species